UAUCUGUAGCACGAUUUUUCCAGAUGGUGUGCAAGCUUGGAGGAGUUAUCCCCCUUGCACCAGGGCUUUUGCGCAAUUGGCCAAGUCAAGCGCGUUCUGAUUAUGUAUUUCAAAAAUGCAGUUAAUUUGUCAGUAACAGCAAAACAAGAGUUGUGUGCUCUUUUUCUUACUUGUUAGCGGCGUUACAAGAAGGAUGUUUACAACAAAGGAAGAUGACGUGAAGUGUUCAGUUAUACGUGCAAAACGCAGUGUUACUGCAGGUGACAACAUGAAAUCUAUAAUUGUGAUUCCAUGCCAUGGCUUAUACUGCUUUGGCAGCUGCAGCCCAACACUAUAGGAGUCACAGUAUGGAUGUGUAUCUCAUGAAUGCUGGAAGACGCCAACAGCAUCUGCUUGUGCUAUAAAUGCCCCUCUUAUAAUCAACUAAUAUCAACUGGAAAGAAUCCUAUACUUACCAGCUUUUGUGCCAGCACUUAUAUAAGUGUUGAAAUUUAAGUUUCUAAUUCUUUAUUCAGGCAUAGUGAAUCAAGUACUGCUAAUAAAAGAACAUCUCUUCUGAGACAAUUUUGCACAGAUAUCCCCAUAAAUUCAAUGAUGGGAGGUACGUAUGGCGCAGAUCUGCAGUGGCUUAUAAGAUUGCAUCCAGUGUCAGAUUUGAACUGUAUCAUGAGAAUUGUUGGCAAGCUUCAGUAAAAUUUGAAUCCUUUGCUACUACGCAGCAAUGAGUAAUACUGUUAUUUAUUUUCUUAUAUAUGUUUUCAGAGCUGAGAACACAUGAGAGAAAACAUCAUCUGCUUGUGUGUUCAGGUGCUUAUUUUUCAUCUGGAUAUAAAACCAUUUGACACGUCAGAGAGGUAUAAUUGGAUGUGAUUAUGAUCUAACAGAAGAUUGAUCUUCAAAUGAAGACUAACUCAUGACAACAGAUAAACUCAAAAUGCUUGUAUUCAUGCAAAGCUCAAUAACAAUGAAAUGAAGGCUGGAAAAAGGAGAAAUCAAACUCCAAUCAAAAUGUUGGCUAAAAAUGAAGAGGCAUUGA
rnacentral:lncRNA from 1 species